rnacentral:rRNA from 1 species
UACGUAGGGCGCAAGCGUUGUCCGGAAUUAUUGGGCGUAAAGAGCUCGUAGGCGGCUUGUCACGUCGGGUGUGAAAGCCCGGGGCUUAACCCCGGGUCUGCAUUCGAUACGGGCUAGCUAGAGUGUGGUAGGGGAGAUCGGAAUUCCUGGUGUAGCGGUGAAAUGCGCAGAUAUCAGGAGGAACACCGGUGGCGAAGGCGGAUCUCUGGACCAUUACUGACGCUGAGGAGCGAAAGCGUGGGGAGCGAACAGG